rnacentral:rRNA from 1 species
GUGGGGGAUAACGCAGCGAAAGCUGUGCUAAUACCGCAUACGAUCUACGGAUGAAAGCGGGGGACCUUCGGGCCUCGCGCGAUUGGAGCGGCCGAUGUUAGAUUAGGUAGUUGGUGGGGUAAAGGCUCACCAAGCCGACGAUCUAUAGCUGGUCUGAGAGGACGACCAGCCACACUGGAACUGAGACACGGUCCAGACUCCUACGGGGGGCAGCAGUGGGGAAUUUUGGACGAUGGGCGCAAGCCUGAUCCAACAAUACCGCGUGCAGGAAGAAGGCCUUCGGGUUGUAAACUGCUUUUGUACGGAACGAAAAGGCUCUUUCUAAUAAAGAGGGCUCAUGACGGUACCGUAAGAAUAAGCACCGGCUAACUACGUGCCAGCAGCCGCGGUAAUACGUAGGGUGCGAGCGUUAAUCGGAAUUACUGGGCGUAAAGCGUGCGCAGGCGGUUUUGUAAGACAGACGUGAAAUCCCCGGGCUCAACCUGGGAAUUGCGUUUGUGACUGCAAGGCUAGAGUACGGUAGAGGGGGGUAGAAUUCCGCGUGUAGCAGUGAAAUGCGUAGAUAUGCGGAGGAACACCGAUGGCGAAGGCAGCCCCCUGGACCUGUACUGACGCUCAUGCACGAAAGCGUGGGGAGCAAACAGGAUUAGAUACCCUGGUAGUCCACGCCCUAAACGAUG